AACCAUGCCCUUCGGGGCUCCUUGGUGAUUCAUAAUAACUUAACGAAUCGCAUGGCCUUGCGCCGGCGAUGGUUCAUUCAAAUUUCUGCCCUAUCAACAUUCGAUGGUACAGUAGUGGUCUACCAUGGUUUUAACGGGUAACGGGGAAUUAGGGUUCCAUUCCGGAGAGGGAGCCUGAGAAACGGCUACCACAUCCAAGGAAGGCAGCAGGCGCGCAAAUUACCCAAUCCCAAUUCGGGGAGGUAGUGACAAUAAAUACUGAUACAGGGCCCUUUCGGGUCUUGUAAUUGGAAUGAGAACAAUUUAAAUCCCUUAACGAGGAACAAUUGGAGGGCAAGUCUGGUGCCAGCAGCCGCGGUAAUUCCAGCUCCAAUAGCGUAUAUUAAAGUUGUUGCAGUUAAAAAGCUCGUAGUUGAACCUUGGGCCUGACCGAUCUGUCCUCCUAAUCGAGCGCACGGAUUCGGUUGGGUCUUUCCUUCUGGGGAGCCCUAUGCCCUUCACUGGGCGUAGUGGGGAACCAGGACUUUUAC
rnacentral:rRNA from 1 species